rnacentral:tRNA from 1 species
AAAUUUAAUUAGUUAAAAUUUAUAAUAUUAUUUUGAAAAAAUAAAGUUUUUUAAAUUUU